ensembl:snRNA U6 U6 spliceosomal RNA
GUACUCGCUUCGGCAGCACAUAUACUAAUAUUGGAAUGAUACAGAGAAGAUUAGCAUGACCCCUGCACAAGGAUGACACACAAAUUCCUGAAGCAUUCCAUCUUUUA